GGCUUCGUAGCCCAAUUGGUAGAGCGCUUGUUACGUUCGAGCAUGAUGUUUCUGUCACUGGUACGAAUCCAGCCGAAGCCC